UACGUAGGGUGCAAGCGUUGUCCGGAAUCAUUGGGCGUAAAGCGCACGUAGGCGGAUCUUUAAGUCAGGGGUGAAAUCCCGGGGCUCAACCUCGGAACUGCCUUUGAUACUGGGGAUCUCGAGUCCGGGAGAGGUGAGUGGAAUUGCGAGUGUAGAGGUGAAAUUCGUAGAUAUUCGCAAGAACACCAGUGGCGAAGGCGGCUCACUGGCCCGGUACUGACGCUGAGGUGCGAAAGCGUGGGGAGCAAACAGG
rnacentral:rRNA from 1 species